UACGUAGGGUGCAAGCGUUAAUCGGAAUUACUGGGCGUAAAGCGUGCGCAGGCGGUUGUGCAAGACCGAUGUGAAAUCCCCGGGCUCAACCUGGGAAUGGCAUUGGUGACUGCACGGCUAGAGUGUGUCAGAGGGGGGUAGAAUUCCACGUGUAGCAGUGAAAUGCGUAGAGAUGUGGAGGAAUACCGAUGGCGAAGGCAGCCCCCCUGGGAUAACACUGACGCUCAUGCACGAAAGCGUGGGGAUCAAACAGG
rnacentral:rRNA from 1 species